UACGUAGGGGGCAAGCGUUGUCCGGAUUUAUUGGGCGUAAAGAGCGUGUAGGCGGCCUGAAAGGUCAGCUGUGAAAACUCGAGGCUCAACCUCGAGAUGUCGGCGGAAACCCUCUGGCUAGAGUCCGGAAGAGGAGAGUGGAAUUCCCGGUGUAGCGGUGAAAUGCGCAGAUAUCGGGAAGAACACCCGUGGCGAAGGCGGCUCUCUGGGACGGUACUGACGCUGAGACGCGAAAGCGUGGGGAGCGAACAGG
rnacentral:rRNA from 1 species